AAGGCCUGUAAAACUCUAAUUUACAACUCUUGAUUGCAAUUCAAACACUUUCAUUAAGCUAAAGCCUC
rnacentral:tRNA from 1 species